rnacentral:rRNA from 1 species
GACGAACGCUGGCGGCGUGCCUAACACAUGCAAGUCGAACGGGGUAAUUACUUCGGUGAUUACUUAGUGGCGAACGGGUGAGUAACGCGUGAGGAACCUGCCUCUCAGUGGGGGACAACAGUUGGAAACGACUGCUAAUACCGCAUGAUGUAUCCGGAAGGCAUCUUUUGGAUACCAAAGAUUUAUCGCUGUAAGAUGGGCUCGCGUAUGAUUAGAUAGUUGGUGAGGUAACGGCUCACCAAGUCGACGAUCAUUAGCCGGACUGAGAGGUUGAACGGCCACAUUGGGACUGAGAUACGGCCCAGACUCCUACGGGAGGCAGCAGUGGGGAAUAUUGGGCAAUGGGCGAAAGCCUGACCCAGCAACGCCGCGUGAAGGAAGAAGGCCUUCGGGUU